rnacentral:misc_RNA from 1 species
UCUCCGUUGGUGAACCAGCGGAGGGAUCAUUACUGGAAUCGCAAGAUCCCACAACCCUGUGAACCUACCGAAACGUUGCCUCGGCGGGUGCCCGGCCUCUGCGCCGAGCGCUGCGCCCGCCGGCGGCCCCCUACUCUGUCUCUGCAGCGUGGCAUCUCAGAGUCCCAGAAAACAAGUCAAAACUUUCAACAACGGAUCUCUUGGCUCUA